CGCGGCCUAUCAGCUUGUUGGUGGGGUAACGGCCUACCAAGGCGACGACGGGUAGCCGGCCUGAGAGGGCGACCGGCCACACUGGGACUGAGACACGGCCCAGACUCCUACGGGAGGCAGCAGUGGGGAAUAUUGCACAAUGGGCGAAAGCCUGAUGCAGCGACGCCGCGUGAGGGAUGACGGCCUUCGGGUUGUAAACCUCUCUCAGCAGGGACGAAGCGAAAGUGACGGUACCUGCAGAAGAAGCACCGGCCAACUACGUGCCAGCAGCCGCGGUAAUACGUAGGGUGCAAGCGUUGUCCGGAAUUAUUGGGCGUAAAGAGCUCGUAGGCGGUCUGUCGCGUCGGCUGUGAAAACCUGGGGCUCAACCCCGGGCCUGCAGCCGAUACGGGCAGACUAGAAUUCGGUAGGGGAGACUGGAAUUCCUGGUGUAGCGGUGAAAUGCGCAGAUAUCAGGAGGAACACCGGUGGCGAAGGCGGGUCUCUGGGCCGAUAUUGACGCUGAGGAGCGAAAGCGUGGGGAGCGAACAGGAUUAGAUACCCUGGUAGUCCACGCCGUAAACGUUGGGCGCUAGGUGUGGGCCACAUUCCACGUGGUCUGUGCCGCAGCUAACGCAUUAAGCGCCCCGCCUGGGGAGUACG
rnacentral:rRNA from 1 species